rnacentral:sRNA from 1 species
CAGGACCCCAGGAGCCCUGUCUGCCCUGCAGCCCGCUCGCUCCCUGUGAGCGACUCGGUCCUGAAUGGGUUUGAGCAGCGGGUCCGGGAGGCCCACCUGACUGAGGACCAGAUCUUCUACUUUCCCAAGUAUGGCUUCUGCGAGUCUGCAGACCAGUUCCACGUCCUGGAUGGUGAGUGCACAGCGGGGCAAGCAUGGCGGCGUGGUGAGGGGGGCCACUGCCACCGGCUGAGUCUCGUCUCUGCUGCAGAAGUGAGGAGGUGAGGGGGGCUACUGCCACUGGCUGAGUCUCAUCCCUGCUGCAGAAGUGAGGAGGUGAGGCCGCCACACAGCUCCAGUGCUGAGUAGUCAGUGCCCCGAGAGACGACCCCACCAGUGGGGUGCCCGCUGCCUGUCCUCUGUGAAACCAGCCUCAGAUCAGGGCCCUGCCACCCGGGGCAGGGGAUCUUCUGCUGGCUGCCCCAGAGGACAGUGGGUGGAGUGGUACCUUCUUAUUAAAUGUCUCAGACCCC